UAUUAAUAUAAGAAUGCUUAAGGCUAUUUAAAAGACUCAAAGAGUCUGUCAAAAUUAGAAAAUAUUUACAAUUAUUUAUAGAAAUUAUAGAUUUUAAGGCGGCAAAAACUGCAUAUGCCUCUGCUGUAAAUAUGGAGCACUUUUUAUCGAGAGCAAAGCUUUGAGCAACAUCUUUUUGGGAAUCAUAUACCGCACUUCUCACAAAAUCAUUGCCUUUACUGCCACCAGUGUAGAUUGUAUAAUACUUGUUAUUUUCUUCUAUAAAAGCCAGUAAAUCUGAAUUAUUUUCGAUUGAAUUUGAUAAAAUCGUAAUAGGAUGAGUGAUACAACUGUAUGAAUGAUUGUAACACGACCAGUGUGAAAGUUUUUUGAUGUUCGAAUAAUGAGAUUGUAUUUCUAAGAAGAUCUGGCACAGAGUUGGAGAUGUACCUCUCAGGAGAUCAUUUGGAGAAGUGAGUGGACCAUCUAUAUUGAUUGGAUCCGAUAUGAGAGAAAUGAAGCUAUCAACACAACUUCUUCCUCUGCGAAAUCCAUAUUGAAUGUGUGGAAUGACAUUAUUGGAUUCUGCAUACCAGUCAAGUCGAGAUUUCACCAUAUUUUCAAAUAUUUUUCCAAUACAUGAUGAUAACGAGAUUGGAUGAUAAGAACUGAUCUGUUCAGGGUUGGAGCGUGGUGGAAGGGGAGGGAACUCAUUGUUAUCUUUUGUGCUGGCAAUGCUUGCAUAUGUUAUUUUAUUUUUCUUUUCUAGGAUUUUAUUCAU